UUCUGGCAAAUUUUGUGGAUUUGUAAUUUUUAUGUUUGAUUUCGCUGUGGAGAUUGAUAUAGGGGGCCAUUGAUAUAUAGAACAUAGAAGUUCGAUUUUCAGUUUCCCCUCUCUUUUCUGUAUGCCAUUCGUGGUGCAUGUGUUUAUAACCUCUUCUUUUUUAUACGUUUUCUCUUGCCAUUUGUAGGGGCUUGUAUCAAAUGUUAUAAUGAUAGCCCAGAGCUGUUUCGCAACUGUAGAUUUUGAUGUUUUUUCCAGUUUCCAUUGGAUAUUAGGCCCACUAAAUUGGUGGUUCAUGUCUAUCAUGCAUCUGAAUUGAACAAUUGAGUUCCAUAUAUGUUACUACAAAAAUUUUGCUUCUCUCAACUAGGCACCAUUCUUGACUAACAUGUGACACGUAAUUUGUUUCGCUCUUAUUACAUUGUGAAGAAUGCUUAUCUCUGAAACUCCAUUUGUCACUUGACAUUUCUAUCUGUAGACGGCAAGAGAAGAACAUUACGAAGCUUGUUGUUGAUAUGGAGACAGAUAAAGUUCUUGGAGCAUCCAUGUGUGGGCUGAAUGCAGCUGAGAUUAUGCAGGUAUCGGUUGUCUUUGUCCAAUAUUUCAUGAAGUUCUUGAGCAGUAGCUACAUAUAGGUUUGAAUCCCUCAUUUCUUAAUUCACAUGGAACUUGAGGCUUACUAUUUUUGUGUUUUAUUAAGAUCAUCAACAGAUAAUGAUAUUUAGGGAAGGCUUGAGCAUCGAAAAACUGAAAUUCUCAGAGUUCCAUAUUGAGUUAAUUCUUUAGUCCUAUAUUGCCAUGCAAAAAAAAAAAAAAAAGAGCUCCCAUGGUUCCCUUCCACUGAUGGGCGGAACCAGAGUAAUGAACUUGGGCUUUCACCUUUGUGUUUCGAUUAGAAUGAUUGAAUCUUCCACAUAAAUUGUCUUGCAUUGCCUAUGUCUGGAUCUAUGAUAUCGGAAAAUACUAAUACCCUAGUGAUUGCAGAUUGGAACGCAGUUUUCAAAACAUGGCACAUUGAUAUUUGAAAGUGCUGGAUUCAGUGUUCCUAAGUGUUCCCUAACUUUUUCACUGUUUGUUUCUUUAUCUUUUACCUCAUGCGUAAAAAAGUUAAAUUGUGACUGCCUAAAACCUCGAAGAGAGUAGUUCUUUGGAAGAUGCGUAAAAAAUGUUUUCAUAGUACGCCAAGAAAUGUGCUUUAAGUGGACAUUUUCAAAAUUUUACCAUGUUUCGUAAGCGUGUAUUCCCUAUUGUGCCAGAUCCCAUGGUAUCUCAAGUAGGUGGUAUUCCUCAAGUACUGCCUAUAGCACUUCUUAUGAAUGUCCUACUUUUCUGGAUUACUUUGUGGUUUGGUUGAUAUCUUCAUAUGCAGCACAUGAUACUGUUUGGGAUAUCCUUCUCAAGGCAUUGCUAUUGCGCUCAAGUGCGGAGCAACUAAUGCACAAUUUGAUAGCACGGUGGGCAUACACCCUUCUGCAGCGGAGGAAUUUGUGACUAUGCGCUCAGUGACGAGGUGCCUCGCUAAAUCGAAGACUAAUCUCUGAAUACAAAUACAGCUUUGAGAAUAGUAAUUACGCUGAUAUAAGAGGCUCUCUUAUGUAAUUUGUUUCAUAUUAUCUAUACACCCAAGAAAGUAGAGAUAAGGAUCAAAGAAGGUUAUUUCGUUGAGAUUUUGUUGAAGUAUAUAUUGUCUCAUAAAUGGAAGUAUUUGUUUACACUUGAAAUGCUUAUAAUGGAUCAGGAUCCACUUAUAUGAAGAUUCUUAUUGCGAUUUUUAUGCAUGUUGCCAACUUUAGUUCCAUUUUUGUGAUGUGCGGGCGGUGUAUUUUUAGGUCUCGAUGCAUGUACCAUUGAACGAUGGGUGAUGUUUGAAAAGUAUGUGAAUUUUAUCGAAGUGUAUGCAUAUAUGUUGCUCUUUC